CGGUGCUAAUUUGUCUUUAAUGACAGAAUAAAACUGCACAAGGCAAUAUAGGGCCCAGCUUUGACUGAAAUUAAGAACAACUGCCAUGUAUGGAUAGCCAUAUCUCCACUCAAAUUUGCCUUCUCCNAUAAACCCCAAAAGCCUCAAAAAUCAUUGCUAAGAGUGCACAGAUCAUCUUCAAUAUCAUAUAUUGCACAAUGCCCACUUUCACAGCAUGAUAGAAGUCAGGACCAAGUUGCCAAUUCCUCAGAAAGCA
rnacentral:misc_RNA from 1 species